rnacentral:rRNA from 1 species
AUUGAACGCUGGCGGAAUGCUUUACACAUGCAAGUCGAACGGCAGCACGGACUUCGGUCUGGUGGCGAGUGGCGAACGGGUGAGUAAUGUAUCGGAACGUGCCCAGCCGUGGGGGAUAACGUAGUGAAAAUUACGCUAAUACCGCAUACGAUCUAUGGAUGAAAGCGGGGGAUCGCAAGACCUCGCGCGAUUGGAGCGGCCGAUAUCAGAUUAGGUAGUUGAUGGAGGGUAAGGCCCACCAAGGCAACGAUCUGUAGCUGGUCUGAGAGGACGACCAGCCACACUGGGACCGAGACACGGUCCAAACUCCUACGGGAGGCAGCAGUGGGGAAUUUUGGACAGUGGGCAAAAGCCGUAUCCAGCCAUUCCGCGUGCGGGAUGAACACCCUCGUGUUGUAAACUGCUUUGUACAGAACGAAAAGGUUUCGACUAAUACUUGGAGCUCAUGACGGUACUGUAAGAAUAAGCACCGGCUAACUACGUGCCAGCCGCCGCGGUAA